AUUGAACGCUGGCGGCAUGCCUUACACAUGCAAGUCGAACGGCAGCAUGAUCUAGCUUGCUAGAUUGAUGGCGAGUGGCGAACGGGUGAGUAAUACAUCGGAACGUGCCCUGUAGUGGGGGAUAACUAGUCGAAAGAUUAGCUAAUACCGCAUACGACCUGAGGGUGAAAGUGGGGGACCGCAAGGCCUCAUGCUAUAGGAGCGGCCGAUGUCUGAUUAGCUAGUUGGUGAGGUAAAGGCUCACCAAGGCGACGAUCAGUAGCUGGUCUGAGAGGACGAUCAGCCACACUGGGACUGAGACACGGUCCAGACUCCUACGGGAGGCAGCAGUGGGGAAUUUUGGACAAUGGGCGAAAGCCUGAUCCAGCAAUGCCGCGUGUGUGAAGAAGGCCUUCGGGUUGUAAAGCACUUUUGUCCGGAAAGAAAUGGCUCUGGUUAAUACCUGGGGUCGAUGACGGUACCGGAAGAAUAAGGACCGGCUAACUACGUG
rnacentral:rRNA from 1 species